UACGUAGGGUGCGAGCGUUGUCCGGAAUUAUUGGGCGUAAAGAGCUCGUAGGCGGUUUGUCGCGUCUGCUGUGAAAACUCGGGGCUUAACUCCGGGCCUGCAGUGGGUACGGGCAGACUAGAGUGCGGCAGGGGAGACUGGAAUUCCUGGUGUAGCGGUGGAAUGCGCAGAUAUCAGGAGGAACACCGGUGGCGAAGGCGGGUCUCUGGGCAGUAACUGACGCUGAGGAGCGAAAGCGUGGGGAGCGAACAGG
rnacentral:rRNA from 1 species